rnacentral:rRNA from 1 species
AACGAACGCUGGCGGCAGGCCUAACACAUGCAAGUCGAGCGAGGACUUCGGUCCUAGCGGCGGACGGGGGAGUAACGCGUGGGAACGUGCCCUUUGCUUCGGAAUAGCCCGGGGAAACUGGGAGUAAUACCGGAUGAGCCCUUUGGGGGAAAGAUUUAUCGGCGAAGGAUCGGCCCGCGUUGGAUUAGGUGGUUGGGGGGGUAAUGGCCUACCAAGCCGACGAUCCAUAGCUGGUUUGAGAGGAUGAUCAGCCACACUGGGACUGAGACACGGCCCAGACUCCUACGGGAGGCAGCAGUGGGGGAUCUUGGACAAUGGGGGAAACCCUGAUCUAGCCAUGCCGCGUGAGCGAUGAAGGCCUUAGGGUUGUAAAGCUCUUUCAGCUGGGAAGAUAAUGACGGUACCAGCAGAAGAAGCCCCGGCUAACUCCGUG